UUUGUAGAUCCUCCCCUAGGACGCUCCGGAGGAAACAGCUCCCCUCGAAGCGGUAUUCAGCAUUCACGGCUGUCACCCAGGAGUCCCUGCUGGGUGCUGGGCCCAGUGCCGGGAGCUACAAAGAUUCUUGAUUAAUUCACCAUUUCCCAGCCAUUGGAAUAAGAAGUGCCUCUGUAGCAUUUGCUGGUGCUCACUCAGACAUCUGCCUUUAUUUUUGUGGACAAAGAAAAAUUUACAGGGUAUUGCCUGUACCAUCUGCCUGGGUCUCAGACUGAGGAUGACGAGGAGCAGAGUGGCAGC